rnacentral:piRNA from 1 species
GAUAGCCUUGCCACACUCACC